CCAGACUCCUACGGGAGGCAGCAGUGGGGGAUAUUGCACAAUGGGGGGAACCCUGAUGCAGCGACGCCGCGUGGGUGAAGGAGUAUUUCGGUAUGUAAAGCCCUAUCGGCAGGGAAGAAGCAAGACGGUACCUGACUAAGAAGCCCCGGCUAACUACGUGCCAGCAGCCGCGGUAAUACGUAGGGGGCAAGCGUUAUCCGGAUUUACUGGGUGUAAAGGGAGCGUAGACGGCAGUGCAAGUCUGGAGUGAAAGGCGGGGGCUCAACCCCCGGACUGCUCUGGAAACUGUACGGCUGGAGUGCAGGAGAGGUAAGUGGAAUUCCUAGUGUAGCGGUGAAAUGCGUAGAUAUUAGGAGGAACACCAGUGGCGAAGGCGGCCUGCUGGACUGCAACUGACGUUGAGGCUCGAAGGCGUGGGGAGCAAACAGGAUUAGAUACCCCCGUAC
rnacentral:rRNA from 1 species